AGCAGCCGCGGUAAUUCCAGCUCCAAUAGCGUAUAUUAAAGUUGUUGCAGUUAAAGAGCUCGUAGUUGAAUUUCGGGAUCAAUAUUUCGGUCAUGCCGUUGGUAUGCACUGUUAUCAUUGAUUUCUCACCUUCUAAAGAACCGUAAUGCCAUUAAUUUGGUGUUACGGGGAAUUAGGACUGUUACCUUGAAAAAUUAGAGUGUUUAAAGCAGGCUCACGCUUGAAUACAUUAGCAUGGAAUAAUGAAAUAGGACAUCCGAUUCUAUUUUGUUGGUUUCUAGGAUCGAUGUAAUGAUUAAUAGGGAUAGUUGGGGGCAUUAGUAUUCAAUUGUCAGAGGUGAAAUUCUUGGAUUUAUUGAAGACUAACUACUGCGAAAGCAUUUGCCAAGGAUGUUUUCAUUAAUCAAG
rnacentral:rRNA from 1 species